rnacentral:rRNA from 1 species
UUCCAGACUCCUACGGGAGGCAGCAGUGGGGAAUAUUGCACAAUGGGGGAAACCCUGAUGCAGCGACGCCGCGUGAAGGAAGAAGUAUUUCGGUAUGUAAACUUCUAUCAGCAGGGAAGAAAAUGACGGUACCUGACCAAGAAGCCCCGGCUAACUACGUGCCAGCAGCCGCGGUAAUACGUAGGGGGCAAGCGUUAUCCGGAUUUACUGGGUGUAAAGGGAGCGUAGACGGCUGAGCAAGUCAGAAGUGAAAGCCCGGGGCUCAACCCCGGGACUGCUUUUGAAACUGCGGAGCUGGAGUGCAGGAGAGGUAAGCGGAAUUCCUGGUGUAGCGGUGAAAUGCGUAGAUAUCAGGAGGAACACCAGUGGCGAAGGCGGCUUACUGGACUGUAACUGACGUUGAGGCUCGAAAGCGUGGGGAGCAAACAGGAUUAGAUACCCCGGUAU